AUAAAGUAACACAAUCACUGGAGUGCAUCUUUAAGUGAUCCAUCACUCCUCUAGUCACUUACACACAUUAGUCCAGGCAGAGUGUAGAUAUUAGUUAGUCCAGGCAGAGUGUAGAUGUUAGUCCAGGCAGAGUGUAGAUGUUAGUCCAGGCAGAGUGUAGAUGUUAGUCCAGGCAGAGUGUAGAUGUUAGUCCAGGCAGAGUGUAGAUGUUAGUUAGUCCAGGCAGAGUGUAGAUGUUAGUCCAGGCAGAGUGUAGAUGUUAGUCCAGGCAGAGUGUAGCUGUUAGUCCAGGUAGAGUGUAAAUGUUAUUCCAGGCAGAGUGUAGAUGUUAGUUAGUCCAGGCAGAGCGUAGUUGUUAGUUAGUCCAGGCAGAGUGUAGAUGUUAGUCCAGGUAGAAUGAAGAUGUUAUUCCAGGCAGAGUGUAGAUGUUAGUUAGUCCAGGCAGAGUGUAGAUGUUAGUCCAGGCAGAGUGUAGAUGUUAGUUAGUUCAGGCAGAGUGUAGAUGUUAGUCCAGGCAGAGUGUAGAUGUUAGUCCAGGCAGAGUGUAGAUGCCCAGGCAGAGUGUAAAGGUUAGUCCAGGCAGAGUGUAGAUGUUAGUCCAGGCAGAGUGUAG
ensembl:lncRNA